CGCCUCUCGGGGUUGCACCUGGAGAGUUUCCAGUCCUUUACCAGUCACGGCUACGGGAGGGAGAGUCAGACAGAGGCCUGUCCGUUCCAUUCCUAGCUCGGGCAGUGGCUAGCGAGUGGAACGCAAUCUGUUACAACU